UACGUAGGGUGCGAGCGUUGUCCGGAUUCACUGGGUUUAAAGGGUGCGUAGGCGGGCAGGUAAGUCAGUGGUGAAAUCUCCGAGCUUAACUCGGAAACUGCCGUUGAUACUAUUUGUCUUGAAUAUUGUGGAGGUAAGCGGAAUAUGUCAUGUAGCGGUGAAAUGCUUAGAUAUGACAUAGAACACCAAUUGCGAAGGCAGCUUACUACACAACGAUUGACGCUGAGGCACGAAAGCGUGGGGAUCAAACAGG
rnacentral:rRNA from 1 species